ACGAACCGUGCAAACGUUAUUCGGAUUCACUGGGCUUAAAGGGCGCGUAGGCGGGUGAUCAAGUCAGGGGUGAAAUCCUCCAGCUUAACUGGAGCAGUGCCUUUGAUACUGGUCGUCUUGAGGGAGGUAGGGGCAUGUGGAACUUCCGGUGGAGCGGUGAAAUGCGUAGAUAUCGGAAGGAACGCCGGUGGCGAAAGCGACGUGCUGGAUCUCUUCUGACGCUGAGGCGCGAAAGCCAGGGUAGCGAACGGGA
rnacentral:rRNA from 1 species